AAUUUAAUUUUUAAUGGCCGCAGUAUUUUGACUGUGCAAAGGUAGCAUAAUCAUUAGUUUUUUAAUUAAAAGCUUGUAUGAAAGGCUGGACGAGGUAGAAUCUGUCUCUAUUUAAAUUAUAGUAGAAUUUAAUUUUUAAGUUAAAAAGCUUAAAUGUUAUUAAAAGACGAGAAGACCCUAUAGAUCUUUAUAAUUUAUUAAAUGAAAUUAAUUUAGAAUUAUUUAUUUUUUAUUUUAAUAAAUUAUUUUAUUGGGGUAAUAGAAAGAUUGAGUUAAUUCUUUUUUGCAAUAAACAUUGAUUUAUGAAUAUUAAAUGAUCCAGUUUUACUGAUUAUAAGAUUAAGUUACCUUAGGGAUAACAGCGUAAUUUUUUUAGAGAGUUCAUAUCGAUAAAAAAGUUUGCGACCUCGAUGUUGGAUUAAAGAUUAUUUUGGGUGUAGAAGCUUAAUAAUUUUGGUCUGUUCGACCAUUAAAUCUUUACAUGAUCUGAGUUCAGACCGGCGUAAGCCAGGUCGGUUUCUAUCUUUAAUAAGAUAAAAUAUUUUAGUACGAAAGGACCAAAUAUUUAAUAUAUUUAUAUUUAAUUUAUUGAAUAUUAUUAAAGUUUUUAUUAUUUUGGCAGAUUAGUGCAAUGAAUUUAGAAUUCAUUUAUGUAAUUUAUUUACAAAUAAUACUUGUUUUAUAUAGAUAUUGUUUUUUCUUUAGUGUGUAUAUUAUUAUUAAUUGUUUGUGUUUUAGUGGGGGUUGCUUUUUUAACUUUAUUGGAACGAAA
rnacentral:rRNA from 1 species